AGUGAACGCUGGCGGUAGGCCUAACACAUGCAAGUCGAACGGCAGCACAGUAAGAGCUUGCUCUUACGGGUGGCGAGUGGCGGACGGGUGAGGAAUACAUCGGAAUCUACUUUUUCGUGGGGGAUAACGUAGGGAAACUUACGCUAAUACCGCAUACGACCUACGGGUGAAAGCAGGGGAUCUUCGGACCUUGCGCGAUUGAAUGAGCCGAUGUCGGAUUAGCUAGUUUGCGGGGUAAAGGCCCACCAAGGCGACGAUCCGUAGCUGGUCUGAGAGGAGGAUCAGCGACACUGGAGCUGAGACACGGUCCAGACUCCUACGGGAGGCAGCAGUGGGGAAUAUUGGAGAAUGGGCGCAAGCCUGAUCCAGCCAUACCGCGUGGGUGAAGAAGGCCUUCGGGUUGUAAAGCCCUUUUGUUGGGAAAGAAAAGCAGCAGGUUAAUACGCCGCUGUUCUGACGGUACCCAAAGAAUAAGCACCGGCUAACUUCGUG
rnacentral:rRNA from 1 species